rnacentral:sRNA from 1 species
GCCAGGGACAGUGGCACAUGCCUGUAAUCCCAGUGGCUCAGGAGGCUGAGGCAGGAGUGGCACAUGGCUGUAAUCCCAGUGGCUCAGCAGGCUGAGCCAGCCUCAGCAAGUGAGCAAGGCCCUAAGCAACUCAGUGAGACUCUGUCUCUAAAUAUAUAUAUAUAUAUAUAUAUAUAUAUAUAUUUAGAGACAGAGUCUCACUGAGUUGCUUAGGGCCUUGCUCACUUGCUGAGGCUGGCUCAGCCUGCUGAGCCACUGGGAUUACAGCNUU